rnacentral:tRNA from 1 species
GAGGGUGUAGCUCAGUGGUAGAGCAUGUGCUUAGCAUACAUGAGGUCCUGGGUUCAGUCCCAAGUACCUCCA